AUGCCUAUUCGAGCGUCAUUACAACCCUCACGCCCCGCGUGGUCUUGGGCCGAGCCCCCCGGGCUGGCCUCAAAAGCAGUGGCGGUGCCUCUGGGUCCUGAGCGUAGUAACACUUCCGCUACAGGGCUCCCGAGCGCGCUGGCCGAACCCCAACUCUUCAGGUUGACCUCGGAUUAGGUAGGGAUACCCGCUGAACUUAA
rnacentral:misc_RNA from 1 species